rnacentral:tRNA from 1 species
UACCCCAUGGUGUAAUUGGCAACACACAAGUUUUUGGUACUUGCGUUCCAGGUUCGAGUCCUGGUGGGGUAG